UACGUAGGGUGCAAGCGUUAAUCGGAAUUACUGGGCGUAAAGCGUGCGCAGGCGGUGAUGUAAGACAGUUGUGAAAUCCCCGGGCUCAACCUGGGAACUGCAUUUGUGACUGCACGGCUAGAGUGUGUCAGAGGGGGGUAGAAUUCCACGUGUAGCAGUGAAAUGCGUAGAUAUGUGGAGGAAUACCGAUGGCGAAGGCAGCCCCCUGGGAUAACACUGACGCUCAUGCACGAAAGCGUGGGGAGCAAACAGG
rnacentral:rRNA from 1 species